rnacentral:rRNA from 1 species
UACGAAGGGUGCAAGCGUUACUCGGAAUUACUGGGCGUAAAGCGUGCGUAGGUGGUGAGCUAAGUCUGUCGUGAAAGCCCCGGGCUCAACCUGGGAAUGGCGUUGGAUACUGGCUCGCUAGAGUGCGGUAGGGGAGAGUGGAAUUCCUGGUGUAGCGGUGGAAUGCGCAGAUAUCAGGAGGAACACCGAUGGCGAAGGCAGGUCUCUGGGCCGGUACUGACGCUGAGAAGCGAAAGCGUGGGGAGCGAACAGG